CCUACGGGAGGCAGCAGUGAGGAAUAUUGGACAAUGGGCGCAAGCCUGAUCCAGCCAUGCCGCGUGCAGGAUGACGGUCCUAUGGAUUGUAAACUGCUUUUGUACAGGAAGAAACACUGGUUCGUGAACCAGCUUGACGGUACUGUAAGAAUAAGGAUCGGCUAACUCCGUGCCAGCAGCCGCGGUAAUACGGAGGAUCCAAGCGUUAUCCGGAAUCAUUGGGUUUAAAGGGUCCGUAGGCGGUUUGGUAAGUCAGUGGUGAAAGCCCAUCGCUCAACGGUGGAACGGCCAUUGAUACUGCCAGACUUGAAUUAUUAGGAAGUAACUAGAAUAUGUAGUGUAGCGGUGAAAUGCUUAGAGAUUACAUGGAAUACCAAUUGCGAAGGCAGGUUACUACUAAUUGAUUGACGCUGAUGGACGAAAGCGUGGGUAGCGAACAGGAUUAGAUACCCUGGUAGUCCACGCCGUAAACGAUGGAUACUAGCUGUUGGAAGCAAUUUCAGUGGCUAAGCGAAAGUGAUAAGUAUCCCACCUGGGGAGUACGUUCGCAAGAUGAAACUNAAAUGAGUAGAGNGNGAGAGNGCGAGGACGACGACGAGGGAGGAG
rnacentral:rRNA from 1 species